GGCUCCGUAGCUUGGAGGAAAGAAGCGCUCAUCUAGCGAAUUUGGGGGUCGUGGGUUCGACUCCCACCGGAGCAC
rnacentral:tRNA from 1 species